UACGUAGGGGGCAAGCGUUGUCCGGAAUCACUGGGCGUAAAGCGCGCGCAGGCGGCUCGUCAAGCCUGACGUGAAAGCCCCCGGCUCAACCGGGGAGGGUCGUCGGGGACUGGCGGGCUUGAGGUCGGCAGGGGUUGGUGGAAUUCCCGGUGUAGUGGUGAAAUGCGUAGAGAUCGGGAGGAACACCCGUGGCGAAGGCGGCCAACUGGGCCGGACCUGACGCUGAGGCGCGAAGGCGUGGGGAGCGAACGGG
rnacentral:rRNA from 1 species